AGCAACCAAAUCUUUCACUCCCAAUCCCCUGUUGGCAAAGCUCUGAAUGAGUUGGCUUGUGUUGAAGGAUGGAGCAGGUAAGUUUACUGUCUCAUUGGCCCUUGACACCCUUCCAUCUUUUCUUCCUUUUAGUACAUUCCAGUAUGGACCUCCAGACUACAAAAUUGAUCAGACAUGAAGUAUUUAUGAGCUUAUGAUUACAGUUUAAUCAGUGAAUUUAACUUAUAUACACUGACAACGCCUUGCUAGCUAGUAGUAUAUUUUAACUGGUCAUAUAGUGUUAUUUACUGCUCGUGAAUUAACAAUUUAGUAGGGAGGAUGAUGAAGUAGUACCAUGGCCACAACAUCUCUAGCUGCGAUGGCAACUAUGUCAGCACAAGAAACAGUUGCUGGGCAAGCCUUUUCGAGGUUUGUUUUGACAGCAUCAAUCACAUAGAAAGCUCCAAGAGAGAGGUUAGGCGGACCAUCUUUCUCUGCUUUGUUUUCUGGUGUUGAAUCCAGUAGAACUGAUGCAUCACAUCCCUGUGAAUAAUCAUUAACAAAACAGUUUCAAUUUCCAUCUCUUGUAUGCAUCUAUAAUAUAAUGACUUGCAUUAUGCACACAAUUAAAUACAUACUCUAAUGAAACAAUCAUGGAAGAACAUCCUGAGAAUACGUGCUGGGACUUUAGGAUCAAAAAACGAAGCAUUGCGAAUUGUUUGAUAAAUAAUAUCUUCAGCAUGAGGACAUGUUUGAUCAUAGUAUUGAACUCCAAGAGUUGCACUGCAUAGAGGGACUAUUAACAAAAUAAGAAAUACGAUUGUAGAAAAAGGAGCCAUUAAUUAAGCUUAAACUGGUAUCUAAGGAUUUAAUUAAUUAAUUGCAACUUGAAAGGAAGAUGAGAUGAGAUGAUUGUGCAACAGGAUUUUGGUUAUAUAUAGCAUGGAAUGAGCAAAUAAACAAAUAGUAUUUUUGGUGUUUGGUGCAUGGAGAUAUUAAUAUGUACUUUCAAGUCACUCAAUUAGUAAAAAGAGGGAAGCCUUAGGAAAUUUGAAGCUUAUUUUGUGCUUUGAGACUAAGCAUUUCCAGCGAUGCUUUUUAUCUUGUACGAUCAACAACAUUACUAACAACUCUAAGAAUAGUACAUUCGUUUACUAGUACAAAUUUCUUUUCUUUCAAUUAUAUCUGCUUUUAUUUCACUGGGAUGAUCAAGAGUCUACAUCGCCCUUUAAGAGAUGAGUGGUCUUUUUAAUAUGGCUAGCUUGGGUAUUCCUUAUUGUUGGACUCAAAAUUCAUUUCUUUAUCAGAACAUGAAUACUCAUUCCAAUUUUCAUUUAUGAUAUUGGACUCUCAUAUAUCAAAUAUAAUUAUUCAUGCACCAGAUGUCUGGUCCUGGCGUGAGAGGGUGUGUGAAGAGUGGAUCUCACAUUGUGAUUCAUGUGUGUGUUUUUUAAGUCUGGUUUCCCAUCACCACCUCUAUUAAAUAAUAAAUGUAUUGACAUAUUAAACGAGGCAAACUAAUAAUGAUGCGCUGGAAGUUGCCUUGCAUGCAUGCUUGUUUAAAGACGGGACUUGUUGAACUGAUGAUCAUCUGAUAUAUGCAAUAUGUUUUCCCUGCAUAGUAACUCCGUAGUUACGAUGCGAAUUCGGAAUUUUGAUUUUGUAAAUUUAGAAUAAGCAUAAUCAUAUCAAAUGUAAAAAACUUUUUCUUUUUGUACAUAUAUGAAUAGUUCACGAGUGGAAAGUACUGGUGAAUCUAUAAAACUCGUCUAGGAAAAAAAAGCUUCUCCAUUAAUGUCAAGGAAUCAGGGUCGGACCAGAAAAUGAGGUAUAUAUAUAGUUCGCCAAAGUAAGUAACUUUAGUCUAGAUAAUGUAUAUAUAUAGUAAGAAAUUUUUUCUAUAUUUAUGUAUGUACAAAUUAAAUUUAGAACUCAAUUAUGAACACUUGAUAUACUAUUUACAAGGUAACUAAUAAACUAAUAAAGGUGUGUAUAUAGGUAAUUUAUCCAAAAAAAAAUAGGCAAGGGAAAGAAAAAUGAGAGAUGGGCCUCACUAACACCUCGUUUGGAUGGUUGUUACUUGCUGUAUUGUAUUGUAUUGUAUUGUUAGUUUAAAUAUAGUGUUUGUUUUGAUUAUUACUUAAAUUAUAGUGAAUCGUAUUAUUUAAAUAUCGUUAGGUAACGACGAAAAGACAAGAUGUGAUUUAGUGUGAUCGCGUUGUUAGCUUAAUAUUUUCUUCCCAUUUUUGUCUUUAUUUACUUAUUAUUUAAUAUAUUUCAUCUUUUACCGUACCUUUUCAUAUUAGCUCUACCCCGUACCUUACUUUUCUUUAAAAAAUAUAAUGUAAUACAUUAUAAAAUAAUAUAUAACAAUCAUCCAAAUAAAGUAUAAUGUGGUGAAAAUUCAAAUAAUCAAUCAACAGACAUGUAAUUAUGUGUGGAGUUUUUCUUUAACGUAAAACAUAGAACAGAGUUUUUCUCUGUUUUAGUCAAAAGAUGGAAAGAGUAAGAAGCACAUUAUAUAUAUAGAGAGAGAGAUACAUAUAUGCUAAAACAGAGGUAAUUAACGCGCCAUGGAGAAAGUUAAGAAUCCUUUUGUCUAAUAUAUAUAACAUGAGAAUAUAGUCCCAUUAAUUAAGUCUGAGGAGGAUGACGUAUACACAGUCUUAUCAAAUUGUUUCUACUUUUUCGAUGCCAUAUUAAGUGAAUUAUUGGAAUUUGGUACACCUCUUAAGAAAAAAUAUUUAACGACAUAAAUUUAAGACUAUUUUUCAAUAUUAUCCUUUGAUUAUUUUUAACUUAUUCUAUUAAAAAUGUCAUGUAAUUAAGAAUCUCAUUAAAUGAAGAAUAAAUAUACUGAGAAAGAACAAUUCUCUUAAAUUUUAAGCAAUUUCCUUAUUUUAAACUAUGAAAAAAAUCUCAGUCAUUCACUUAAUAUCGACGAGAAGAAGUAAUAGAUAACGGCCGUUAAUCUGUUUCUUUCAGGUUGGUCUAAAGCUUCAAGGCAAACAGUUGGUAAGGUACUAAGAGGUAUACACGUAUAUACAUACAUAAAAAAAAAACUUGGCUGUCCUGGAUUCAAGGGGAAGAAAGAAUGAAUAUCUACCUUAUGGUUGGAGUUUUUUGUCUUUUUCCUACCCGAUGUCUGGAAUCCGUAUUGAAGUUUCGACUAAAUUCAGAUCGUGCAUGAUCCAUUUGGAAAUGACACUCCCCACAUGAUUUUCUCCAUAUCCAGAAUUCAAAUUCAAAACCUCUGAUAAUUAUGGGUGAAACUCUUCCACCACUAAACUACUUAACUUUCCUUAUAGUUGGCGUACUUUAUAACAACAGAAGCUUUAAUUAUUGCAGGGUUUGUUAUUUUAAUGAAUUAAUUAAGAGUAUACUGUGC
rnacentral:lncRNA from 1 species